rnacentral:lncRNA from 1 species
UCGGUUGCUGAGAAGAAAAAAGAGAAUGAUUGAUCGGGGUAAGGCGUGGUCCACCAACUUUAAGGUGCAAAAAAAGAGAAACAUGUGGAAGAAGCUUGCAUAAUUUCACCCAUGUUUAUUUUUACCGUGAAGCCAACAACUAAUGAUGAAACUCAGUUUCUUCCUUGGGAUAAAAAACAAAAGGUUACUAUAGGUCCAAAAUAUAUUGAACUGGAUUCAUUUGACACAAUUUGAAUCCCCCAAAAUGUUGUCAAAACUAUCCCACCCUUUCACAAAGCUCUUCCUUAGAAAGCUUUGAAAGCUUCACCUUGAAGCUCCAAAGUUUUUGAGCUCUUACCUACAUCAAGCCUCCCAACAAAAGAAGGAGAAAAUAAUUUUUUUAGAAGAAGGAGUAGAAGCAUACAAAGAAAGACAGAGGAGAGUAUAUUUCACAUACAUGAAGGUAAUUUUGCUCGUCAGAGUUCUCGUCGAAAACCUAGAAAUUCCAAGUUCUUGAGAGGUGUUUUUCUUCAAUUUUUCAUGUCUAUUUACCUUUCUCCUUGGAUAUUUGUUGAUUAUUUACCUUCAAUCGUUGUAAAUUAUUGUAUUCGAACCAAAAUAUUGGAAAGGGGAUUUAUGGUUUAUGUUGGGGAUGAGGGUUGAUUUGUAUUUAUUAUGGAUGUUUUGAUGAUUUUGAACCUUGAUUAGUGAUGUUGAGUGAAUUUUGAACCUCCAUGCUCAUCUUUUGUUCUUCCUUUUUUUAUGUUUG